UGCUUGUUUAAAAGAUUAAGCCAUGCAUGUCUAAGUAUAAGUGAUUAUACAGCGAAACUGCAAAUGGCUCAUUAUAUCAGUUAUAAUCUACUUGAUCGAUAAAGUUACUUGGAUAACUGUAGGAAUUCUAGAGCUAAUACAUGCAAAAGGGUUGGAGUGGGGUUAAACCUGCAAAGACCGCAUUUACUAGCCCAGAAACCAGCUCGGGGUAUUCCAAACUUGUGUCAUCAGUAAAAUGGUGGCAGAGGGCCUCGAACUCCUUAGGUGAAUCACAGUAAGUCUAUGCAAAUCGAAGACUAAAGUCUUCGAUGAUGCAAACGAGUAUCUGCCCUAUCAACUUUCAAUCGUAGUGUAGGGGACUACGAUGGUUGUAACGGGUACGGGGAAUUAGGGUUCGAUUCCGGAGAGUUAGCCUUAAAAAUAGCUAACAUUACCAAGGUAAGCAGCAGGCGCGUAAAUUAUCCAAUCCCAAUUCGGGGAGAUAGUGACAAGAAAUAUCGGUGUGGAGCUCUAAUGGGUUUCACGAUCGAAAUGAGUACAAUUUAAAAACCUUAACGAGGAACAAUUGGAGGGCAAGUCUGGUGCCAGCAGCCGCGGUAAUUCCAGCUCCAAUAGCGUAUAUUAAAGUUGUUGCGGUUAAAAAGCUCGUAGUUGGACUCCGGGUUGAAGCGUGUUGGUCCCCUUGUUGAUGUCAUUUCCCUUUUGGGUUUUGAUUAUUGCUUGGGAUUAAAAAGGCCAAGCGUCUUCUUCUCAACUAUAUCUGUACUCGCAAAAACAGUACUAAAAAUAUUUUUUUUUUAGUAUUGGAAUACAGAAAUUUACUUUGAAUAAAUUAGAGUGUUCAAAGCAGGCGAAAUCGUCUUGAAUACAUUAGCAUGGGAUAAUAAAAUACGACCUUUGGUCUAGAUUUACUGGUUUCUAAGGCCGAGGUAAUGAUUAAUAGGGACAGUUGGGGUCGCUUGUACUCAGUGGUAAGAGGUGAAAUUCUAGGACCCAUUGAAGACAAACAAGUGCGAAGGCAUUCGACAAGGAUGUUUUCAUUAAUCAAGAACGAAAGUUAUGGGAUCGAAGAUGAUCAGAUACCGUCGUAGUCAUAACCGUAAACUAUGUUGACUCAGGAUCUGUAGAAGUUACAUGGAUGACUCUGCAGGCACUGUGUGCGAAAGCAUAAGUAUUCGAACUCCGGGGGGAGUAUGGUCGCAAGGCUGAAACUUAAAGGAAUUGACGGAAGGGCACCACCAGGAGUGGAACCUGCGGCUUAAUUUGACUCAACACGGGGAAACUUACCCAGUCCGGACGCGACGAGGAUUGACAGAUUGAUAGUUCUUUCUUGAUUUUGUGGGAGCCGGUGCAUGGCCGUUUUUAGUUGGUGGAGUGAUUUGUCUGGUUAAGUCCGAUAACGAACGAGACCUAAUUUUAUUAAAUAGUACUGCGAACAAGGGGGUCGCUGGUGAAGAAGAAGUUUGUGAUGGGAAACUGUUACAAUUUCUUUUUUAUCAGGGCUUCCAUUCAUUUGUUCGUAGCCAAUAAUAUACUUCUUAGAGAGACCCUUGGUACAACAACAGCCAAUGGAAGUUUUAGGCAAAAACAGGUCUGUGAUGCCGCUAGAUGUCUGGGGCUGCACGCGCGUUACACUGAUGUGUUCAACAAGUAUUAUAAAUUACCUAACUCGAGGGGGUUUGGGCAAUCUUGGAACGCACAUCGUGAUGGGGAUUGUGCUUUGUAACUAUCGCACAUGAACGAGGAAUUCCUAGUAAGGGCAAGUCAUCAACUUGCCCUGAUUACGUCCCUGCCCUUUGUACACACCGCCCGUCGCUUCUACCGAUCGAACUACUCGAUGAGGACUCGGGAUGUGGGGUGAUUGAAUUUCGGUUCAUGAACCUUUUCCGCAGAACCUGUUCGAAUCUCGCAGUUUAGAGGAAGAAGAAGUCGUAACAGGU
rnacentral:rRNA from 1 species